UGUAUUAAUGCUACAAUUUUCCAUGAGGCUUGAUGUAUCGGGGCACACUUAAUCGCUGAUGGAGAACGUGGUGGUCGACGCCAGGGAUUGUUUUGAGUUAUCAAGAUCCUUAACUUCUAUCUCUCUCAUUUUCUCCUCGAAAACCCAGCUGCUCUCGAGAGUCCGAGAAAUCGUUGCUUACGCUUCAUCUUCGCUUCCUCCAUGCGUUUUGGGCAUCAGAUUCACCACUCCUAUGGUUCGUUGAAUAAACUCGCUCAAAAUAUUUUGUAGGUUUGUUUUUUUAUUCCCUAUUGUUUCCUGAAUGUCUAUGCAUUAUUAUUUUUAUAUGUCAAAUUCAAUUUUUUUUUAAUUUUUUUGAUAUAUGGUUAAUCCACUUAAUUGUUAGUUUGCGUUGUUGUAUUUUGAUUGAUCUGGAUUUUAAUUUUAGAUAUUUUAUGUCGUAUAUUGAUCUAGGAAGUGCAGCCUUAUUGUGCAAUUAGGUACCUUCCCCGAUACUUGAGCCAUUUUUAGUAGAUCAUGCCUCCUGCGUUUGGUACCAUGGAUGUUAACCCUCUUUUUAUUUUCACUGUUCUUGGCAUGUUCAGGUUAAUUGGUCAUCCCACUAAAUUCUAAUUUUAAUUUUAAGUCAAAAUCCGAAAGUUUAUUAUUUUAUAUUCUCAUAUGAUAAUAUCAUCCAAGUUGAAUUGGGGAAGAUAAUCUACCAACCUUGCAACUUCCAACUUGCAUUUUAUACGCGUUAUUUUCUUCUCAUUUCAACUUGUGUCUUAGGUGUUUGCCUUAGAGUUUCUGGCUUGUUUUUUUUCUUUUCUUGUUCUGUUAGACUUGCAGGUAGCUCUUCCCCGUGUGCUCUAAGCUGCUAGCCUGUGGUUCAGACCUACAGGCUGCCUGGCUUUGUGCCUGUUUUGCAGGCUUUCUGCAGCCUCACUCUGUUGCAAGUUCUGAUUUUCUAGGGUUUUCUCAAGGAUCUCAAAAUUCCAACUUCAAUGGACUGCCGAAAGAUUCGAAAGCACGAUGUUCGAGUUGUACACUCUAAUGGCGGAUUCAAGAAGCACAAUUAAGCUAGGUUAAGACAACCUGAGAGCAAGUCAAGCUGGGAACUUCAAUGGUCGUCCGAAAGAGAUGAAAGCACGAUGUCGGAUUAGUACACUCUAAUGGCUGAUUCAAGAAGCACAAUUACGGUUUACUCUUACUUUUCUCUUUCUUUAUACUUCAUAUAUUUGCUGCAUCUUUUUUUUCUUGGCUGGGGUCUGAACUUAGAAGCAGAAAUAAAUUUGCUGGAAUUAUGUUUGUGAUAGUGGCCCUUGGCUCUUGUAAGCAUGCUUUCUGUGAUGAUGUAAACCCUUUAGCCGGUUGAAACCUGAGCUCUAAGGGUGCAAUUUCGUGUCUUUGGGAGCCUUUUAGUCUGUA